rnacentral:rRNA from 1 species
GGCGCACGGGUGAGUAACGCGUGGGAACCUGCCCCGGGGCCCGGGACAACCGUGGGAAACCGCGGCUAAUACCGGGUACGCCCCGCGGGGGAGAGGCCUUCGGGCCGCCCGGGAUGGGCCCGCGUCCGAUUAGCUAGACGGCGGGGUAACGGCCCACCGUGGCUGUGAUCGGUAGCCGGUCUGAGAGGACGAUCGGCACACUGGGACUGAGACACGGCCAGACUCCUACGGGAGGCAGCAGUGGGGAAUCUUGGACAAUGGGCGCAAGCCUGAUCCAGCGACGCCGCGUGGGCGACGAAGGCCUUCGGGUUGUAAAGCCCUUUUCCCGGGGACGAUGGUGACGGUACCCGGGGAAUAAGCGCCGGCUAACUCCGUGCCAGCCGCCGCGG